rnacentral:rRNA from 1 species
GAAAGUAAUGAAGGGCGUACGGUGGAUGCCUAGGCUCUUACAGGCGAUGAAGGACGUGAUAAGCUGCGAAAAGCCGCGGUGAGGCGCAAAUGGCCCUUGACCCGCGGAUCUCCGAAUGGGACAACCCAAUAUCUUGAAGAGAUAUUAUCCCGCCGGUGCGGGAGGCGAACGCGGGGAACUGAAACAUCUUAGUACCCGCAGGAAAAGAAAAUAAAGAAUGAUUCCCCCAGUAGUGGCGAGCGACCGGGGAAGAGCCCAAACCGACGUUGUCUCGGCAUCGUCGGGGUUGUAGGACCGCGCCAUCGCAAGAAAGGCCGUGAGUGGAAGCGACUGGAAAGCCGCGCCAUAGAGGGUGACAGCCCCUUACACGAAGCAGCCCGAAGCGUAGCGGACUCCUGAGUAGCGCGGGACACGAGUAAUCCUGUGUGAAUCCGCCGGGCCCAUCCGGCAAGGCUAAAUACUCGUAAGAGACCGAUAGUGAACCAGUACCGUGAGGGAAAGGUGAAAAGUACCCCUUGCAGGGGAGUGAAAGAGUUCCUGAAACCGUACGCCUACAAGCGGUCGGAGCAUCUUGAAUGAUGUGACGGCGUGCCUUUUGCAUAAUGAACCUACGAGUUGCCGUCACCAGCGAGGUUAAGUGCGAUGACGCACCGAGCCGCAGCGGAAGCGAGUCUUAAAAGGGCGCGAUAGUUGGUGGAGGCAGACGCGAAACCGAGUGAUCUACACUUGUCCAGGAUGAAGUCCCGGUAACACGGGAUGGAGGUCCGCACCAAUAAGCGUUGAAAAGCUUCUGGAUGAGGUGAGUGUAGGAGUGAAAGGCCAAUCAAACUCGGAGAUAGCUCGUACUCCCCGAAAGGCAUUUAGGUGCCGCCUGUGGCGUUCCCGACGUGAGGUAGAGCGACUGAUAGGAUGCGAGGGCUUCACCGCCUAUCAAGUCCUGACAAACUCCGAAUGCACGUCGGCCAAGCCAUGGAGUAAGGGCAUGGGUGCUAAGGUCCGUGCCCGAGAGGAGAAGAAUCCAGACCACCGGCUAAGGUCCCGAAAUACUGGUUAAGUUAGACUAACGCAGUCCGGCCCCCAAGACAGCUAGGAUGUUGGCUUGGAAGCAGCCAUUCAUUCAAAGAGUGCGUAACAGCUCACUAGUCGAGGAGCUGGGCGUGGAUAAUAAUCGGGUAUGAAACCAGUUACCGAAGCCGUGGGAUGCUUAAGCAUCGGUAGGGGAGCAUUGCAUGCGGCUUAGAAGGCGGGGCGCGAGCCCCUCUGGAGCGCAUGGAAACGCAAAUGUAGGUAUAAGUAACGACAAGGGGGGUGGGAUGCCCCCCCGCCGAAAGACCAAGGUUUCCUGAACAACGCUAAUCGGUUCAGGGUCAGUCGGGUCCUAAGCAUAAGCCGUAUGGCGAGGGCGAUGGACGAAACGGUUAAUAUUCCGUUACUGUCUUGGUGUGUGACGCGGCGACGGAGUAGUGACACGGCCGCCUCCUGACGGAAAAGGGGGUUGAAGCGCAAAGGUGUCGAGGAAGGCAGGCAAAUCCACCUUCCGAGCCGAAGCGCGAAAGUACGCCGGGCCCUUUGGGGCAAGGCGAUAGUGCCGGUAAUCAGACUUCCAAGAAAACCCGCUAAACUUCAGCACCAAGUCACCCGUACUCUAAACGGACACACGUGGUCGGGUAGAAUAUACUAAGGCGCUUGGGAGAUUCACGGUUAAGGAACUAGGCAAAUUGACCCCGUACCUUCGGAAUAAGGGGUCCUCGCUUUUGCGAGGCGCAGAGAAUAGGUCCAGGCAACUGUUUAACAAAAACACAGGGCUGUGCAAAUUUGAAAGAAGAAGUAUACAGCCUGACACCUGCCCGGUGCCGGAAGGUUAAGAGGAGAGCUCAUCAGCGAUGAGAAGGCUUGAAUUGAAGCCCCGGUAAACGGCGGCCGUAACUAUAACGGUCCUAAGGUAGCGAAAUUCCUUGUCAGGUAAGUUCUGACCCGCAUGAAAGGCGUAAUGAUUUGGGCACUGUCUCAACAGCCCGCCCGGCGAAAUUGUAGUACCGGUGAAGAUGCCGGUUACCCGCGACAAGACGGAAAGACCCCAUGGAGCUUUACUGUAGCCUAAUAUUGGGUUUCGAUGUUGCAUGCACAGGAUAGAUGGGACACUUGGAAACAAUCGCUUUGGCGGUUGCGGAGUGGCCGUUGGGAUACCAUCCUUGCGAUAUUGGAAUUCUAACCUGCGGCUCUGAAUCGAGUCGGGGGACAUUGUUAGGUGGGCAGUUUGACUGGGGCGGUCGCCUCCUAAAGAGUAACGGAGGCGUUCAAAGGUUCGCUCAGCUUGAACGGAAAUCAAGCAAAAGAGUGCAAACGCAGAAGCGAGCCUAACUGCGAGACUGACGGGUCGAGCAGUAACGAAAGUUGGAGUUAGUGAUCCGGUGGUAUGUGAGUGGAAAUGCCAUCGCUCAACGGAUAAAAGUUACCCUGGGGAUAACAGGCUGAUCUCCCCCAAGAGUCCACAUCGACGGGGAGGUUUGGCACCUCGAUGUCGGCUCAUCGCAUCCUGGGGCUGUAUUCGGUCCCAAGGGUUUGGCUGUUCGCCAAUUAAAGCGGUACGCGAGCUGGGUUCAGAACGUCGUGAGACAGUUCGGUCCCUAU